rnacentral:lncRNA from 1 species
GUAAUUUAAAAAAAAAACUAGAGGCUCUAAAGAGCCUGUGUCGCUCACCUUGGUCUAUGUGAAUAUUAAACAAAGGAAGCAGAUUGAAAAUUGACUACAAAGGUCAAUAACUCCUACAGGGGUCAAUUGACCAUUUCGUUCAUGUUGACUUAUUUGUAGAUCUUACUUUGCUGAACAUUAUUGCUGUUUACCUAUAUCUAUAAUAAUAUUCAAUAUAAAACAGCAAAAUUUCCUUAAAAUUACCAAUUCAGGGGCCGCAACCCAAAAACAGGUUGUCCAAUUCAUCUGAAAAUUUCAGGGCAGAUAGAUCUUGACCUGAUUAACAAUUUUACUUCAUGUCAGAUUUUCUCUAAAUUAUUUGGUUUUUGAGUUAUAAGCCAAAAACUGCAUUUUACCCCUAUGUUCUAUUUUUAGCCGUGGUGGCCAUCUUGGUUUGAUGGCCAGGUCACCGGACACAUUUUUUAAACAAGAAACCCCAAAGAUGAUUGUGGCCAAGUUUGGAUCAAUUUGGCAGAGCAGUUUCAGAGAAGAAGAUUUUAGUAAAAGAUAUAUAAAAUUUACGAAAAAUGGUUAAAAAUUGACUUUAAAGGGCAAUAACUCCUAAAGAGGUCAAC